UUGUGUUUAUGUGCUUGUGUGGAUGUGCUUGUGUGUAUCAUGUCUCCUAAGUCGAUUUAAUGAAAACAGAGAUGCAGUUGAUCUGCUUUAAUCUCAUUAUCACCAGGAAUCCUGUUAAAAGGGAAAUACUAGGGUCUGGAUUUGGCAACACAGCCUAUGUUAAGAGGCAAGACUUUGUCACGUUAAAGGGGAAGUACUAUAUCCUGAUUUGGCAACCAAGCCCGCUGACACUUGUGACCUUAUGACAUGUCACAGUGAAGCGCGGCAACAGGCCUAGCUGAUAGCUAGCACACACAUAGAGGAAACCGACUCGGCUAUAGUUUCACCACAGCAAAUAUAAGAACUUGAGCCGUGAAUCCAGGGAUUACAAACCCAGCCGGAGGCAGACAGGCAGGCUGCAGCAUGACUCUGUCUCUGGAACAUGGAGAAAAAUACACUGCAUUGACUGGGGUCAGGAUAGGACUCACCACAGCAUAGCGCUUAAAUGCUAAGAUCCCUCCAUCAACCAUUAAAAUGACAGUCCAAAAAGGAUAGCAGAGAAGUCGCAACGACACGACAGCCCAAAUGUUAGGAGAAAAAUAGAGGGAGGAGAGAAGACACACCAAAGGAGGUUUUGGGGGAAAACGAACAGGGGCUGUUUCUUCAAGACAACCCUGUUCUCUUCAGCAGUAGCCUGGGAAUCACGGACCUUUUUCAAAACGGGAAAAGACACCAUUGGCUGGCAAACUAAACCAUUUUUCUUGAUAUGGCGCGAGCUAGGAUCGACACCCUUAACGAAGCGAACGGAGGCUGCACAGCGCAUGCGUGGACCCGGACGGGUCUGUCUAAACAGGCAGGGGACGCGAUUCACGAAAGGAAAGAAAAGACCAUCUCCAGUGUUUCAGUCCAGCAAGCGGCGCCAGACACCAACAUUAGAUUUGCGAAGAUAACGGAGGGUCAACGUUAUUAGGUAUCGUUUGUCGCAGCAUUUCAUGCCAAUAAAAUUGAAA